rnacentral:rRNA from 1 species
UACGAAGGGGGCUAGCGUUGUUCGGAAUCACUGGGCGUAAAGCGCACGUAGGCGGAUUGUUAAGUCGGGGGUGAAAUCCUGAGGCUCAACCUCAGAACUGCCUUCGAUACUGGCAAUCUCGAGUCCGGAAGAGGUUGGUGGAACAGCUAGUGUAGAGGUGAAAUUCGUAGAUAUUAGCUAGAACACCAGUGGCGAAGGCGGCCAACUGGUCCGGUACUGACGCUGAGGUGCGGAAAGCGUGGGGAGCAAACGGG